GACGAACGCUGGCGGCGUGCUUAACACAUGCAAGUCGAGCGGAAAGGCCACUUCGGUGGUACUCGAGCGGCGAACGGGUGAGUAACACGUGAGUAAUCUGCCCUUGGCUUUGGGACAGCCACCGGAAACGGUGAUUAAUACCGGAUACGACCACUUCUCGCAUGGGAUGGUGGUGGAAAGUUUUUUCGGCCAGGGAUGUGCUCGCGGCCUAUCAGCUUGAUGGUGAGGUAAUGGCUCACCAUGGCUUCGACGGGUAGCCGGCCUGAGAGGGUGACCGGUCACACUGGGACUGAGACACGGCCCAGACUCCUACGGGAGGCAGCAGUGGGGAAUAUUGGACAAUGGGCGGAAGCCUGAUCCAGCAACGCCGCGUGAGGGAUGACGGCCUUCGGGUUGUAAACCUCUUUCAGCAGGGACGAAGCGCAAGUGACGGUACCUGCAGAAGAAGCACCGGCCAACUACGUGCCAGCCGCCGCCGUAA
rnacentral:rRNA from 1 species